UACGUAGGGUGCAAGCGUUGUCCGGAAUUAUUGGGCGUAAAGAGCUCGUAGGCGGUCUGUCGCGUCUGCUGUGAAAACCUAGGGCUUAACUCUGGGCGUGCAGUGGGUACGGGCAGGCUAGAGUGCGGUAGGGGAGACUGGAAUUCCUGGUGUAGCGGUGAAAUGCGCAGAUAUCAGGAGGAACACCGGUGGCGAAGGCGGGUCUCUGGGCCGUAACUGGACGCUGAGGAGCGAAAGCAUGGGGGAGCGAACAGG
rnacentral:rRNA from 1 species